CCUACGGGUGGCAGCAGUGAGGAAUAUUGGUCAAUGGACGAGAGUCUGAACCAGCCAAGUAGCGUGAAGGAUGACUGCCCUAUGGGUUGUAAACUUCUUUUAUAAAGGAAUAAAACGAGGCACGUGUGCCUUUUUGCAUGUACUUUAUGAAUAAGGAUCGGCUAACUCCGUGCCAGCAGCCGCGGUAAUACGGAGGAUCCGAGCGUUAUCCGGAUUUAUUGGGUUUAAAGGGAGCGUAGAUGGGUUGUUAAGUCAGUUGUGAAAGUUUGCGGCUCAACCGUAAAAUUGCAAUUGAUACUGGCAGUCGUGAGUACAGUUGGGGUAGGCGGAAUUCGUGGUGUAGCGGUGAAAUGCUUAGAUAUCACGAAGAACCCCGAUUGCGAAGGCAGCUUACUAAACUGUGACUGACAUUGAUGCUCGAAAGUGUGGGUAUCAAACAGGAUUAGAUACCCCUGUAGUC
rnacentral:rRNA from 1 species